rnacentral:rRNA from 1 species
AGAGUUUGAUCAUGGCUCAGAACGAACGCUGGCGGCGUGGAUAAGACAUGCAAGUCGGACGAGAUUUUCCGUUGUAGCAAUACGAUGGAAAGUCUAGUGGCGAACGGGUGCUUAACACGUGGGCAAUCUGUCUUAAAGUGGGGGAUAGCUCGGCGAAAGCCGAAUUAAUACCGCAUGUGAUUAGAGUGGACAUCCAUUCAAAAUUAAAGGUGGCGCAAGCUACCGCUUUUCGAGGAGCCCGCGGCCUAUCAGCUAGUUGGUGAGGUAACGGCUCACCAAGGCUUUGACGGGUAGCUGGUCUGAGAGGACGACCAGCCACACUGGGACUGAGACACGGCCCAGACACCUACGGGUGGCAGCAGUCGAGAAUUUUUCUCAAUGGGGGAAACCCUGAAGGAGCGACGCCGCGUGGAGGAUGAAGGUCUUCGGAUUGUAAACUCCUGUCAUUGGGGAACAAGGUGCAUACGUUAACUGCGUGUGCAUUGAUAGUACCCGAAGAGGAAGAGACGGCUAACUCUGUGCCAGCAGCCGCGGUAAUACAGAGGUCUCAAGCGUUGUUCGGAUUCAUUGGGCGUAAAGGGUGCGUAGGCGGCGCGGUAAGUCGGGUGUGAAAUCUCGGAGCUUAACUCCGAAACUGCAUUCGAUACUGCCGUGCUCGAGGACUGGAGAGGAGACUGGAAUUUACGGUGUAGCGGUGAAAUGCGUAGAUAUCGUAAGGAAGACCAGUGGCGAAGGCGGGUCUCUGGACAGUUCCUGACGCUGAGGCACGAAGGUCAGGGGAGCAAACGGGAUUAGAUACCCUCGUAGUCC